UACGUAGGGUGCGAGCGUUAUCCGGAAUUAUUGGGCGUAAAGAGCUCGUAGGCGGCUUGUCGCGUCGACUGUGAAAUCCCGCGGCUCAACUGCGGGUCUGCAGUCGAUACGGGCAGGCUAGAGUUCGGUAGGGGAGACUGGAGUUCCCGGUGUAGCGGUGGAAUGCGCAGAUAUCAGGAGGAACACCGAUGGCGAAGGCAGAUCUCUGGGCCGUAACUGACGCUGAGGAGCGAAAGCAUGGGGAGCGAACAGG
rnacentral:rRNA from 1 species